AGCUCCAAUAGCGUAUAUUUAAGUUGUUGCAGUUAAAAAGCUCGUAGUCGGAUUUCGGGCGUCGGCUCCGCCGGUCCGCCCUCUGGGUGUGCACUGGCGCGAGCCCGCCUUGCUGCCGGGGACGGGCUCCUGGGCUUCACUGUCCGGGACCCGGAGUCGGCGUGGUUACUUUGAGUAAAUUAGAGUGUUCAAAGCAGGCCUACGCUCUGAAUACGUUAGCAUGGAAUGACACGAUAGGACUCUGGCCUAUUCUGUCGGUCUGUGGGACCGGAGUAAUGAUUAAGAGGGACGGUCGGGGGCAUUCGUAUUUCGAUGUCAGAGGUGAAAUUCUUGGAUUUUCGAAAGACGAACUUCUGCGAAAGCAUUUGCCAAGGACGUUUUCA
rnacentral:rRNA from 1 species